GACGGAGGAUGCAAGUGUUAUCCGGAAUCACUGGGCGUAAAGCGUCUGUAGGUGGUUCGAAAAGUCCACUGUUAAAAAUUGAGGCUUAACUUCAAAGAUGCCGUGGAAACUUUCAAACUAGAGUACGGUAGGGGUAGAGGGAAUUCCCGGUGUAGCGGUGAAAUGCGUAGAGAUCGGGAAGAACAUCGGUGGCGAAAGCGCUCUACUGGACCGCAACUGACACUCAGGGACGAAAGCUAGGGGAGCGAAUGGG
rnacentral:rRNA from 1 species